GCCCUUUGGGAACACAUAUAUUAAAACUAGAACAAAACAGAGGAGACUAGCAUGGCCCCUUCUCAAGGAUGACAUGCAAAUUCGUGAAGCAUUCCAUACUUUU